ensembl:lincRNA
CUCCCAAGUAGCUGGGACUACAGGCAUGCACCACCAUGCCCAGUUAAUUUUUUUCUAUAUAUGUUUUUAGUUGACCAAUUAAUUUCUUUCUAUUUUUAGUAGAGAUGGGGUCUCGCUCUUGCUCAGGCUGGUUUUGAACUCCUGACUUUCAGUGAUCCUCCUGCCUCAGCCUCCCAAAGAGCUAGGAUUACAGGCAUGAGCCACCGUGCUGGCCCUCAGGUGGACAUCUUUAAUCAUCCUCUACUUAUCUCCCUGCAGCUACCUUCUCCACAGGUGCUUUGGAAACCCUCUCUAUUGUAAGGUCCUGUGCCAGGACCUUCUGUCUCAGGACAUAUUGCUCUUUCAUGACCUAAAAGAGGAGGAGAAGGAGAACAGCGAGUGGGAGACCCUCUCAGCAAAUGUCAUGAAAUCCACAAUCUAUGGUACUUCUCCUGCCUGCUCUGAAGAAGACCAGGAACUUUAUGUCUGCACAGUCAAGGAUGAUGUGAACUUGGAUACAUUGCUUCUCCCACCGUCUUUAAAAGAAAUAGCAGUAAACCAACUGGAUCAACUGGGCCCAGAGAAACAGUUGCUGAUCAAGUGUGCUGCAGUCAUUGGUCAUUCCUUCCAUAUAGAUUUGCUGCAGCACCUUCUGCCUGGCUGGGAAAAAAAUAAACUAUUCCAGGUGUUGAGGUCUCUUAUGGAUAUACAUGUGCUCCACUGGUUCAACAAGAGCCAAAGACCUCCUGCUGAGCCCAUAUUAGCACCCUCCUCUGUAGACAUCAUCAAUCAAACCAAAGAGAAGAAAAAAGAUGCUGGCUCAGCCUCUCUGCUCAGGCUACAAGAGGAACUAUCUGUACCUCAAACCAAGGUGUUGGAAUUUGGAGUGCCUCUAUUAAGGGAAGCCGCUUGGGAGCUGUGGCCCAAAGAACAGCAGAUAGCUCUGCACCUGGAGUGUGCCUGCUUUCUCCAAGAUUUGGCCUGCCGCUGUGGGAGCUGUCAUGGAGGGGAUUUUGUUCCCUUCCAUCGCUUCGCAAUUUGUUCUACUAAGAGUUCCAAUGGGACCUCCCGAUUCUGCACUUACAAAGACACUGGCUCGGUGCUAACACAAGUGAUCACAGACAAAUUGCAGCUGCCUUCUCCCCAAGGUAGCUUUCAGUUCCAGGCAAAACCAUCCAGCACUCAGGAGGCCUUCUCGAGUGAACACUGCAGAACAGAGGAAGAGUUUCUGGAUCAAGUGAAUAGGAAGCUGGCUGAGACUAGCCCGGAGAAGGGCCUAUUCACCAGGAAGCCCUGCCACUGUGAGGAAAUCCUGAAAUUCGUGCUCUCACCCCUCGCCCAGCACUGCUUGGUCAUUGGAAAAACCACCUGUGCAUUUUAUUACCUGCUGGAGGCUGCUGCCGCCUCCUUGGACUUGUCAGAUAAUUACAUGGCCUUCUUUUAUUUGAGGACGGCAAGCAGUCUUCUGGGCCAACCCUCGGCAUUCUCAUUCUUGAGAAAACACAAGGUGAAGAUCUGUCAGUUUGAGGAGGCCACUUUCUGCUGUCUUUGGUCAGAGGUCUGUUUCAACAUGGGACAGAUCACCUUAGCCAAAAAAUUGGCUAGGCAAGCCCUUCAACUGCUGAAAAGGAAUUUCCCUUGGACCUGGUUUGGUAUCCUUUUCCAAACAUUCCUGGAAAAGUAUUGGCAUUCCCGUUUCCUGAGCCAACCUCCAAACAACCCUAGUGAGAAGUGAGAAGCCUGGACUAAGUUGUCCUGGUUCCCUUUAGGGCCACAGAAAACUGUAGCUAAAGUAGGAUCCAUGCUGGAGUUUUCCCCCUGUUGACUUAAGACUACUUUUUUUCUUACUAUCUGGUAACCGCCAAGCAUUUAACAGACAAACAUACAACAGACAGCAUAUCAGCAUAUACAUAUAUGCAUGUAACAGAUAAGUGCGUAAUGGACAGGUCUAGGUUUUCCACCUUACUCCCCAGCCAAUUAAAUGUAGCAAAUAGGAAUUCAAAGAAUGAAUCUUUUUUUUUAAAAAAAAUCUCUCUCUGAACUUUUCCUGAUUAAGAGGAGUAAAUUAAAAUGUUAUAUGGAGUUAGGUGCAGUGGAAUUCCAGGAACAUUUCUUGAGUUUGAAAGUCUAUGGAUGGCCCCACAAUGAGUAGACUUGGAUCUUUUGUGGGGAGAGAAAGUUGGGCAUUGGUGAGGAGCAAGGGUGUGCUAACCACCCGUGCUUCACAACAGUAAGAAGAACCUGGCAGUCCUGCAGCAGCGGGUGCAUUGCUUCUCCCUACUCUGGC